UACGUAGGGGGCAAGCGUUAUCCGGAUUUACUGGGUGUAAAGGGAGCGUAGACGGUUCUGCAAGUCUGGAGUGAAAGCCCGGGGCUCAACCCCGGGACUGCUUUGGAAACUGUGGGACUAGAGUGCAGGAGAGGUAAGUGGAAUUCCUAGUGUAGCGGUGAAAUGCGUAGAUAUUAGGAGGAACACCAGUGGCGAAGGCGGCUUACUGGACUGUAACUGACGUUGAGGCUCGAAAGCGUGGGGANCAAACAGG
rnacentral:rRNA from 1 species